rnacentral:lncRNA from 1 species
GGGUAAAAUUAAAAGAAAUCUGAAAUUCAAUUUAAACGCACAGCAAGAAUAGGGGGACCAAAUGCACAAAUAGACCAUCUAAGGUCAGAAUGCGCAGAUUCCCCUCCCCCCAAACGGCGCCAUUUCGCUUAUGUCUUAAAUUAACCAAAGGAAAAAAAUUGAAAUCAAAUCUGUUCCAUUUAAAAAGAAAUCAAUUGCUGCUAGGGCUUUUCUCCUAUCCCUCUUGCGCCGUCGAUCAUCUAUUCCCCCUCCAAAACUCCGAUUGCGACGGAGAUGGUAGUGGCGCGACAGCCUCGACGAGAAGGUGAGCUUUUCUUCCUCCUCUUCUUUUAUAUUAUUUGCAAUAUAGAACCAAAAAACAGAAAAAGGAAAAUCUAAAAAAAUCUAAUAAUCACCUUUUAAAGAAUGAAUAAUCGAUUUGCUCUCGUAUUAGUUUUCUCUGUAUUUUCAGUCUCUUCCCCCCUUUCUUUUACAUAUUAAAUGGCCUUUUAUAGGCUGAAGAAAAAAAACAAAAUAAAUCGAUGACAUUAUUUUUUGCUUGUUUUUCUCCUCUGGAUUCUUUGAGUCCGCGAUUGCAGGAGUUCGUGGAGUGUACGACGCGAGGAAAAGGGGUGGUUCCGCAACGUGCGCUGAUCAGAUCUGCUGGAGCGCGUCGUAGGGGCUGUUGCGGCGCUGAGGCGAAUGCAUCUAGGGUUUCGGUGUUUUGGGGUUUGGGUAAUUGGGCCUAGGCUAGUAGUUUUGCUGUAUUGGGCCAUGUCCUGUUUUGUGCGGGCUUGGGUUAUUUUUGUUUGUUUUUAUUAUUUUAAAAGCUCGGGCAAAAGGGCUAUUACAAGCCUGAUUCUAAAUAUAUUUUUUUUACACAGAGAAACAAGCAAUCAAACGAAAAAAAAAAGAACAAAAAGCAUUAAAAGAUAAAAAAACAAAGGUGAUUUCUCUUGUUUUUUGUUUUGUUUUUUUUUAAUUUUUGAAAAAAAUAAAUAAAAAUACAAAAAUCGUUUUUUUACCUAAGUCGCUUCAUCUCCCCUUGUUGUCGGAGGCCUUCUCCGGCUUCAAAUCCCAGAAUCCAUUAGGGUUUGGCCUAGGCUUCAACAGAGCAGGGCCUGAACGGCAUGAAAUGAGCCGAAGGUUCCUUUUUUUAUUAAUUUUUCUCGCGGAUAGAAGGCAUUGCCUUCAUUUUGGGGUUCAAAAGGGGUUAAAACUCUUUUUAAUAAAAAAAGGAAAAAAGGAAGGAGAAAGGUACUUUUCUGGCCCCCGGAGGUGACGGCCACCGUAUCCGAUGACAGGUGGCCACGGUGGACCACGGCGGGGCGACGACGGUCCUAUGGCCCGACCCUGGGGCGUGUUUCAGAGAAAAAAAUAGGAAAAUGGAGUUUAAAAAAAAACACAAUUGAAAUUAUUAUUAUUUUUUUUGAUGCCGUUUCGGGAUUGGCCUCAGGAGCCGAAAACGACAUCAUUUUGAAAUAGGACUCGACUCGAACUGCAUAGGAUCCACGUAUUUUUUAUGUGGGUGGUCUAUUUACGCAUUUGGUCCAUCUGCUUUUGCAACUUGUUUCAAUUUAGCCCUUUUUCUUUUUAAUUAUUUUAUUUCUUUCCCUGUAAUUUUGAAUUGCUUACAAAUUAGUCCCCUGACUGAGCGCCGACCUUCUGGAGAAUGACGCGUGUCCUGGAGUUUGGGAUAAUUUAUCAUUUAGUCCUUAUUUCUUUUCGCGCAUUUCAUUUUGGUCCUUUAUUCUGUUUUAUUAGUUAUCUUUUAUUAUUUACAAUUUAUACCCCCUAAGUUCAUUCUAAUUUCAAUUUAAUACUUGGUUUAUUUAAACUUCAACCUUUUUUACAAAUUAUUUUAUUUAUUUAUUUAUUACUUCUUUAUUUUUUUAUAUGCUUAAGAAUUAAAUUGUUUACGUUCUUUUAUUUGAGCCUU